rnacentral:rRNA from 1 species
GACGAACGCUGGCGGCGUGCUUAACACAUGCACGUCGAACGGAAAGGCCCUGCCUUCGUCGCGCCCCCGAGCGGCGAACCGGUCAGUAACCCGCGCGUACCCCGCCCUUGACUCUCGGACAACUUCCGGACACCGCGGCCAAUACCGCACCGGAGCUCCUGCUGCACGGUGGCGGUUGGCACGUUUCGGCGGCUGGGGAUGGACUCGCGGCCUCUCCGCUUGUUGGUGGGGUAGUGGCUUACCAAGGCUUUGACGGGUCGCCGGCCUGAGAGGGUGACCGGCCACAUUGGGACUGAGAUACGGCCCAGACUCCUACGGGAGGCAGCAGUGGGGAAUAUUGCACAAUGGGCGGAAGCCUGAUGCAGCAACGCCGCGUGCGGGAUGACGGCCUUCGGGUUGUAAACCGCUUUCGCCUGUGACGAAGCGUGAGUGACGGUAAUGGGUAAAGAAGCACCGGCUAACUACGUG